GGUGUGGCUGUGAUUACAAAGUAAAUCUGAAUGCUUGAUUGUAUUUAUGCAAUCCGGUAUAAGCAUGACAGACCCUUUUACACCCAUAGAAUAUGAGCCACA